rnacentral:lncRNA from 10 species
CGUCAGCCUCACUCACUCUCAUGGUCAAAUACGAUGAGAAUUAGCAAUUGGAUAUUGGAAUCAACAGCACACACGUCAUUGGCGACCUUGACAAGAGAGGAACUGGGGACAAAGAAUACGGAUAACUCUUUCAAAGAAUUUUUGCUGGGAAAAAUUCAGCAGAGUGGAAAAAACUGCAAGAUAAGAGAAAGAGGGAAGAAUUGAUGGACAAUGUUCUUGAAUAAACAGAUGGCUUGAGUCUAGAGCAAAAUGAAGAAAAUGGCUUUAGAUGGGAGCUGUAGUGUAGUAACAUGGGGAAGAUAGAAUCUACGGGUGCAGACUCAGGAACAUUGGUUUUAGUAGAUCUAAUGCUAGGAACAUGUGAAAAUUCUAAUUGUUGAAAGAAGAAACAAUGGUGUCAGCUGGAUAUGAGGAUCGAGGAAGAGGUGCUGCUUGGUUUGAAGAGAAAGGGGAAGGUGUAAACUAUCAUAGGAAAAUGGGAGACUGAAUAGAUCAGGGAGUGGUAUGGUUUGACUCUGUGUCCCCACCCAAAUCUCAUCUCGAAUUGUAAUCCCCACGUGCCAAGGGAGGGACCUAUAAUCCUCAUGUAUCAAGGGAGGAAGGUAGUUGGAUCAUGGGGCAGUUUCCCCCAUCCUGUUCUUGUCAUAGUGAGUGAGUUCUCAUGAGAUCUGAUGGUUUUAUAAGUGUUUGACUGUUCUUCCUUCGUGCUCUCUCUCCUGCCACCUUGUGCAGAAAGUACCUGCUUCCCCUUCCACCAUGAUUUUAAGUUUCCUGAGGCCUCCCCAGCCAUGCAGAACUGUGAGUCAAUUAAACCUCUUUCCUUUAUAAAGUACCCAGUCUCAGGGAAGUUCUUUAUAGCAGUGUGAAAACAGAUUAAUACAGGGAGAUAUACAGCAUAACUGCUGGCAACAUUAAGAGCCACUUGAGGUUGCAAACUACAAAUCCUAAGCCCUGUACCAACUGAAUGGACACCUACCUUGGCCAAGGGGACCCCAGAAAAGCCUCAAAGCAGUUCCCAGCUAAGAUGGGACAGGAGGUUGGACAUACCUCGUUAUACCCUCUCCCUUUUGCAGUUUAGACACAAUUCACCAGCAUUAGUAAAAUAGAGAUCAUAAGACUGACAGAACAGACUCUUCGUAGCAAUAAGAUACCAAAUCAUAAACAGGACCUAAGGCCAUGUCAGGCAAGGGUUAAGUCAUGCACCCCACAUUUCCAAGAAUAAACUAUGUUCUAAUGGCCACAAGGUUUUUUUCUCUAGCAGCUAAACAAGCACUGGCCUUGAUAAGCAAUAUUAAAACAAUUGCAGCUGAUCCAUUGCCAGACGCUGACUGAACCCCUGUUCCACCAGCCAUAAGCACCGCUUUUAUCAAACAGGAGGCAAUUUCAGAAACUUUCUCCAUGUAAAAAGACCACCAACUGGACCAUGGGCUGGUUCUGGAUGGUUUAGAGAGGUUGUGCCCUUGCAUGCCUUCAUGUCCUGAAAAGACCUUAAGUCCCCAUCCCAAAGUGAACAUGGGCCACAUAUUACAUGUAUGUUUGUUCAAUAAAAAUCUCAGGACCACCUUCAUGAACAUUCAUAGCUCCUCCAGUAAUUUGAAUACAUAUGUUUAGCCAACUGUUUUGCAUAAAGCUCUUACCCCAACCCCACCUUCUUUGAAGACCUUGUCUCUGAUCUUGGCCUGAGGCAUGCUUCCCAG